rnacentral:lncRNA from 1 species
UUGGCGAUGUAACUUGUUCAUUAUGUGGGUAUAUUUUAUUCAUCUGUAAGAAUAAUUUGUUCAUAGUGUGUGGAUAUGUUUAUUCUUAUGUGUAUAUAUUUUGUUCAUAAUGUGUUGAUGUUUGUUCUUGAUGUUUUUUCUUUACUUUUAUUUUUCUUAUUAGAUAUAAUUCAUCUCUUAUUCACAACUCUUAUAUUUAUCAUUAUCUUUUAAUCAAAUCUUAACAAACAUAUACUUGAUUAUUAUAAUAGUGAAAAAUUAUUAUUUGUCAUAUAGACUUGUUUGUCCGUGAUGUACAAUCAUUUGUUCCCGUUGUAGAGUAAUUUAUUUGUGAUAUCAAAUUAUUUUCAAUAUAUGGACUAAAUUGUUCGCAUGUAGUAAUAAUUUUUUUCACAGUUUGGACGCAUGUGUUCUCCAUGUAGACAGUUUCUUCACUAUGUUAAAUUAUUUGUGUGUCAUAUUUAAUAUCUUGUUCGCAAAAGCAAUUAUUUGUACAUGUUGUAAUGCCAUUAUUCACAAUAGUUAAUAAAUGUUCGUAAAAAAAUUGGAUCCAAACAUAGUCAAAUGUGAUCUUGUUUUAAAGAUCUUAUUGUAAAAAAUAUUAUGGU